AGGACAACGCUGGCGGCGUGCUUAACACAUGCAAGUCGAACGGAGGAUACAUUGAAACGCAAGUCGAUAUGUAACCUUAGUGGCGGACGGGUGAGUAACGCGUGGAUAACCUGCCUAUCUGACCGGGACAACACCUGGAAACGGGUGCUAAUACCGGAUACGCUCAUCUAGUCAAAAGAAUAGAUGAGGAAAAGGGGAAACCCGCAGACAGAUGGGUCCGCGUCCCAUUAGCUAGUUGGAGGUGUAAGAGACCCCCAAGGCGACGAUGGGUAGCCGGCCUGAGAGGGUGACCGGCCACACUGGAACUGAGACACGGUCCAGACUCCUACGGGAGGCAGCAGUGGGGAAUAUUGGGCAAUGGGCGAAAGCCUGACCCAGCGACGCCGCGUGAGGGAAGAAGGUCUUCGGAUUGUAAACCUUUGUUGAUGGGGAAGAAGCAAGUGACGGUACCCAUCGAGGAAGCCACGGCUAACUACGUG
rnacentral:rRNA from 1 species